CGUAAUCAUGGGACAAGGCCCAAUGUUAUGUACGGAGAACAAACUAUCACAGUUACAUCGAUUUGUCAUGUUGCUUUUAAUGUUUUGCAAAUAAAAUGUUUGAAUCGCAAUAUUCCAUAACCAUUGUGCCCCAUAUGGCGAGAACUGCGCUUGAAUGCUACGACUGUCGAAAUGUCACAUAUACGAACACCUGCAACCGAACGGGCACGUGCUAUCCACAUGAAUCAUGUUCCAUGGAAGCAGUAACGCUGGUUUCUUCUGAAAGAACAUACACGUUGAAUUGCAAAGACAAUAAUCAAUGUCACCAAAACAAACAAAACAGUUCGUCCGGUCAUUUGAUUGGUCGAUCUGUUGCGUCCCAAGGACCAUCUUUUACCAAACGUGAUGCUCCGUCUUGUCAUAAUUGUGCACUCCCUUGUGCAACAAGGCUCUAUGUAAUCACCCAAGACGUACGUGCCCUUGCUUUUUAGAGUGAUGUCACUUUAGUUGCAUUAUUGAUGUAUUGACCUCGAAAAACAUGUUUUUAUCAAUAAUGGAACUCAUUUAAGAAAUAAGUGUAGAUAAAUACGUGUGUUUGUAAUUAAAACAAAAGCACACAAUAUUAUUAUUCAAUCUGAAUGAAUCCAGUAUACACACGGAAUUUGUUUACGUCCUUGUUUAAUUGAAAAAAAGUUUAUUUGAUUUUUUUAAAUUCAAUAUAAGACAUACAAUGUAUACAUGUAUAUACUCAUAAAACAAAGUGAUACCAUGUAGCAGCAAUUAUGUUCAAACAUGUUAUACAAGAUAUAUGCUAAUAUAUACUUUUUUGUUCUUGUGAUUAAAAAAAAGGGAAAAAAGGAAAAAAGGAAAAAAAAGCAAGCAAUUGUGUUGACGAUCCGUCCGUCGAUUGUGCGAAGAUUGAUUCCAUAGUCAACGUGUGUGCCGAUAUUCACAAGGCGAAAUUGGUUUGUCCGAGGUUUUGCAACCUCUGUAACGUGGUUGAUGGAAAUUGGAACUGGUGGUCCUCUUGGAGCGGAUGUAACGUCACGUGCGCAAAUGGAACUCUUACACGUCAUCGAACUUGCUUCGAUCCUGCACCUCAAAAUGGUGGACUGGACUGUGUGGGAACAGGAACUGAGAGUCAGACGUGAAUCAUGGAUUCGUGUCCCGUUCACGGUGGGUGGAGCAAGCGGGCACCAUGGGGUUCAUGUUCAGUUACAUGCGACAUUGGCAUGCAGAGACGGGGCAGAUCGUGUGAAAACCCAUUACCGACAAAAGGUGGUGACAAUUGUUUAGAAGAUUCCAGAGAUGACCGAAUAUGCCUCGCUACAGGAUACACGGAUGGACAUUGGUCGGCGUGGGACAACUGGAGUUACUGUUCUGCGUCGUAUGACCUGUUCUGCGUCGUGUGACGGAGGGCGUAAAACUAGAAACAGAGCAUGCAAUAAUCCACUGCCGUCUCUUCAUGACCGUAACUGUGAUGGCCCUCCACAAGACGUUGACGUCUGUAACAGUGCUUCUUGCACAGGUCAUGAUAUCGUAUUUGUUGUUGACCAAGCAGCCAUGCCAUGCUGUUGGUUUUCGAAAGACUAUACAUACAAAACAUGUCGUGUGGAAUUUCGUAGAUAUAUUUCACACGAAAAGGAUCAAUUUAGUCUUCAAGAUUCAAUGUUUACGGCAGAAAAUCCAGGAGUGUAUAUGUUUACAUGGACUUUUAUCAUAUCACAGACUCAUGGCUGUCAACAAGUGUCUUGUGAGCUAACAAAAAACUACCGUUUACUGUCGACCAUUGCGAUCGAUACAGAUAAUACUCAGGUAGAGUCUAGUGCAAUGGUUUACAUGUCAACAAAUGAUCAAGUGAAAUUGUACAGAUGUUUUUGUGACCAUUCAGAUCGUGGAAACCUCCAACUCGCCACCCCACUCGACAGCCGAUCCACAUUAACGGGCAUUUUCAUGCAUUAGUUGUACUGCAACUUUUGAUCAUUUCGUUAUUAUAAAUAUACAGGUUGGGCAAUCUGGAAUGAUUCACUAUUCUGUGAAUGUUUUUAAAUCAGUAUAUUUAUUGUUGAUCAUGCAGAAACAUUUUUUAACAGCUCCAUUAUUUCUUGAGAGUUUUAAUUAUUUUGCCGUUUUGUGUGUUUGCUUUUCAUGCACUAUUUCAAUGACUUUAAAGGUUAUUCCGAAACACGGAACAUUUAAGUAUCGCAAAUUAAAUCAAAUGGUGAAUUUAUUAUUCCAAUACUUGAAAAUUAAAUUAUGAGUCCUUCUUAUCAUAGUAUACUUUGUCACUGUGGCAUUUAUCCUGUAUACUAUUAUGGUGUGAUUUGACAAAGAUUGUGCUCACAAUAUUUUUUUUCUAGCAGCUUUCUAAAUUCAUUUCGAGUGAACAGGGACCCAGGCGUAUAACAAGUUUUAAUGCAAACAAUGCAAGAGGAAUGAUUUGCUGUAUGGUGUUUACAUAAUGAAACCCUGACGUUUAAGAUGUUUUAAAGCAAACAAUGCAAGAAAAAUGAUUCGCUGUAUUGUGUUUACAUAAUAAAACCCAGGCGUAUAAGAAGUUUUAAUGCAAACAAUGCAAGAGAAAUGAUUCGCUGUAUGGUGUUUACAUAAUGAAACCCAGGCGUAUAAGAAGAUUUAAUGCAAUCAAUGCAAGAGAAAUGAUUCGCUGUAUGGUGUUUACAUAAAGAAACCCAGGCAACAAUGCAAGAGAAAUGAUUCGCUGUAUUGUGUUUACAUAAUGAAACCCAGGCGUAUAAGAGGUUUUUACGCAAACAAUGCAAGAUAAAUGAUUCGCUUCAUUGUGUUUACAUAAUGAAACCCAGGCGUAUAAGAAGUUUUAACGCAAACAAUGCAAGAUAAAUGAUUCGAUUUAUUGUGUUUACAUCAUGAAACCCAGGCGUAUUAGAAGUUUUAACGCAAAUAAUAUAAGGGAAACAAUUCGCUGUAUUGUGGUCACGUAAUAAUCUGUACCUUAACGACUGAACGAUGUAUUCACCGAAGUCUCAAUAAUUUUGUACUGGUGUAACUAUUGUAAAACUGCUUUCGCGAACAAUUGUACGUCUAAUUUCGCAGCACUGUGCAUAUAUAUGUAUUCUUUAGUACUAAUACAUAAUUGAGAUAGACGUGUCAGUACUGUUGGACUUAAACUUUGAAAUGAUCUGACCUUAAAUUAUGAUAAAGUGUGUCACUACACACUUUGACGUCAGAUUUGAAAACGUAUUUGUUUAUGGCUUACAAUAGUUUGUUUUGAAAUAUGAAGUAACAAAAGUACUUAAGUUGACAUUGAUUCCCAUACUGACUUUUGGUGGUAAAUUGUAUACUUUUGUGAAAAUGCAUUAUGUUAAGAACAUUAAGAUGUCUUCUGUUAAUGACCAACGUUAAACUAUUAUGGGUUUUAGCCCUCUGAUUACCAUAUCAUACAAUAUUGUAUGUGUAUGUAUACACUAAUGCCAAAUGUUGUUAUAUUCUAACAACAUUGAUUUAUUAUUGUACAACGCUGUUGAAAUUGUAUUUAGAAACAGAGAUAGGCAAACAAACACGUUUCAAGAAUAAACACCCAAGCUUUGAA